GGGCCCGUGGGGUAGCUUGGCCGAUCCUCGUUGCUUUGGGAGCAAUGCACCCCGAUUCAAAUUCGGGCGGGCCCA
rnacentral:tRNA from 1 species